CUCAGAUUUGGCGCAUCUUGCCUGGCCCUCUGCUAACGUAGACGUUCUAUGGCUUUGCAAAGUUUAUAUCUCCGGUUCGGUGCAUGCUAUGAAGACAAAAAUACCACGACUCGAUUCAGUGAAACAAAAUCUCCUAAUUCCCAGCGAUAGUUUUAGACUUUUAGUCAGAUACAGGCUAUAGUUUUAGUCAGAUGGUAUAGCUAUUUAUGACCUUUGUCUUUGACUUUGAUAGGUCAAGCGGUGUCAUA